GCUACGGGAGGCAGCAGUGGGGAAUAUUGCACAAUGGGGGAAACCCUGAUGCAGCGACGCCGCGUGAGUGAAGAAGUAAUUCGUUACGUAAAGCUCUAUCAGCAGGGAAGAAAAUGACGGUACCUGAGUAAGAAGCCCCGGCUAACUACGUGCCAGCAGCCGCGGUAAUACGUAGGGGGCAAGCGUUAUCCGGAUUUACUGGGUGUAAAGGGUGCGUAGACGGUGCGCCAAGUCUGGGGUGAAAUGCCGCGACGUAACUGCGGAACUGCUUUUGAAACUGGCGAACUAGAGUGGGGGAGGGGUAAGGGGAAUUCCUAGUGUAGCGGUGAAAUGCGUAGAUAGUAAGAGGAACACCGGUGGCGAAGGCGGCUUACUGGACCGUAACUGACGUUGAGGCUCGAAAGCGUGGGGAGCAAACAGGAUUGGAUACCCCUGUAGUC
rnacentral:rRNA from 1 species